rnacentral:rRNA from 1 species
AUUGAACGCUGGCGGCAUGCUUUACACAUGCAAGUCGAACGGUAACAUGUCUUCGGAUGCUGACGAGUGGCGAACGGGUGAGUAAUACAUCGGAACGUGCCUAGUAGUGGGGGAUAACUACUCGAAAGAGUAGCUAAUACCGCAUGAGAUCUACGGAUGAAAGCAGGGGACCUUCGGGCCUUGUGCUACUAGAGCGGCUGAUGGCAGAUUAGGUAGUUGGUGGGGUAAAGGCUUACCAAGCCUGCGAUCUGUAGCUGGUCUGAGAGGACGACCAGCCACACUGGGACUGAGACACGGCCCAGACUCCUACGGGAGGCAGCAGUGGGGAAUUUUGGACAAUGGGCGAAAGCCUGAUCCAGCAAUGCCGCGUGCAGGAUGAAGGCCCUCGGGUUGUAAACUGCUUUUGUACGGAACGAAAAGCCUGGGGCUAAUAUCCCCGGGUCAUGACGGUACCGUAAGAAUAAGCACCGGCUAACUACGUG